CAAUAUGCUCAGAAUCGGGCUGCUGCACAAAUUCCCAUUUUGCGUAGUGAUUACAACAAUGACGGCAAUGGUCAUUAUAAUUUUGGCUUCGAAACCGGCAAUGGCAUUAAACGCAAUGAAAAUGGCGAACUUCAAGGUGGUUGGCCACAUGGUUCAUUAAAUGUGGCCGGUUCUUAUUCCUACACUGGUGAUGAUGGCAAGGUCUAUUCGGUUAACUAUAAGGCCGAUAGCAAUGGUUUCCAUGCUGAGGGUGAUCAUUUACCCACACCACCACCAAUUCCCAAGGAAAUUCAAGAAACUUUGCAUUUACAUCAACGUGGCAACUCUGGUG